UUGUCAUUGCUUCAACAGUGUUUGGACAGAACAG
rfam:Sus scrofa chromosome 15.